GAUGAACGCUGGCGGCGUGCCUAAUACAUGCAAGUCGAACGGAACCAAGGGAGCUUGCUCCCUGAAGUUUAGUGGCGGACGGGUGAGUAACGCGUGAGCAACCUGGCCUUCGGAGAGGGACAACAGUUGGAAACGACUGCUAAUACCGCAUGACAUACUUUUGUGGCAUCAUGAGAGUAUCAAAGAUUUAUCGCCGAAGGAUGGGCUCGCGUCUGAUUAGUUAGUUGGUGGGGUAACGGCCUACCAAGACGACGAUCAGUAGCCGGACUGAGAGGUUGACCGGCCACAUUGGGACUGAGAUACGGCCCAGACUCCUACGGGAGGCAGCAGUAGGGAAUAUUGGGCAAUGGGCGCAAGCCUGACCCAGCAACGCCGCGUGAAGGAAGAAGGCAUUCGUGUUGUAAACUUCUUUGACGGGGGACGAUAAUGACGGUACCCCGAAAACAAGCCACGGCUAACUACGUGCCAGCAGCCGCGGUAAUACGUAGGUGGCAAGCGUUAUCCGGAUUUACUGGGUGUAAAGGGCGUGUAGGCGGGCUAUUAAAGUCUGACGUGAAAUCUAGGGGCUUAACCCCUAAACUGCGUUGGAAACUGAUGGUCUUGAGUAAUGGAGAGGCAGGCGGAAUUCCUAGUGUAGCGGUGAAAUGCGUAGAUAUUAGGAGGAACACCAGUGGCGAAGGCGGCCUGCUGGACAUAAACUGACGCUGAGGCGCGAAAGCGUGGGGAGCAAACAGGAUUAGAUACCCUGGUAGUCCACGCUGUAAACGAUGAAUACUAGGUGUGGGAGGACUUGACCCCUUUCCGUGCCGGAGCAAACGCAAUAAGUAUUCCACCUGGGAGUACGGUCGCAAGGUUAAAACUCAAAGGAAUUGACGGGGGCCCGCACAAGCAGUGGAUUAUGUGGUUUAAUUCGAAGCAACGCGAAGAACCUUACCGGGGCUUGACAUGGGGAUGAAUUACAUAGAGAUAUGUAAGUCUUCGGACAUCUCACACAGGUGGUGCAUGGUUGUCGUCAGCUCGUGUCGUGAGAUGUUGGGUUAAGUCCCGCAACGAGCGCAACCCCUAUUGUUAGUUGCUACGCGAGAGCACUCUAGCGAGACUGCCGUUGAUAAAACGGAGGAAGGUGGGGACGACGUCAAAUCAUCAUGCCCCUUAUGUCCCGGGCUACACACGUAAUACAAUGGCGCUGAACAAAGGGAAGCGAGACCGCGAGGUGGAGCAAAUCCCCAAAAGGCGUCUCAGUUCGGAUCGCAGGCUGCAACCCGCCUGCGUGAAGUCGGAAUUGCUAGUAAUCGCGGAUCAGCAAGCCGCGGUGAAUACGUUCCCGGGCCUUGUACACACCGCCCGUCACACCAUGAGAGUCGGGAACACCCGAAGCCUGUGAGCCAACCGCAAGGAGGCAGCAGUCGAAG
rnacentral:rRNA from 1 species